GUGGGGAAUAUUGGGCAAUGGGGGAAACCCUGACCCAGCAACGCCGCGUGAAGGAAGAAGGUUUUCGGAUCGUAAACUUCUAUCCUUGGUGAAGAUAAUGACGGUAGCCAAGAAGGAAGCCCCGGCUAACUACGUGCCAGCAGCCGCGGUAAUACGUAGGGGGCAAGCGUUGUCCGGAAUGAUUGGGCGUAAAGGGCGCGUAGGCGGCCUGGUAAGUCUGGAGUGAAAGUCCUGCUUUUAAGGUGGGAAUUGCUUUGGAUACUGUCGGGCUUGAGUGCAGGAGAGGUAAGCGGAAUUCCCGGUGUAGCGGUGAAAUGCGUAGAGAUCGGGAGGAACACCAGUGGCGAAGGCGGCUUACUGGACUGUAACUGACGCUGAGGCGCGAAAGUGUGGGGAGCAAACAGGAUUAGAUACCCUUGUAGUCC
rnacentral:rRNA from 1 species